CCUUGCUCAGAGAGCAGAGAUGUCCUAUGCUGUGUUUAGUGCUUGACUUUGAAAGGUCCUGGCUCCUCAAGAUGCAACAUGUUUGUUCUCCUUGAUCUUAUGAAGGGCUUGAUCUUCGAUGGGCAAGUUUGACUACUGAUAGAGAAGCAGCUGGGACACCCCCCCCCAACCCAGGUAGUCCAAGGGGGUCAGGAAUCAGGAGUGGGGAUGUCCUUUUGACCUAUGAGUUACAGGGCUCCAAGAGGUCCUGGUUGAAUUUCCUCCACAGGUUGAAGCUGGUCAAUCUCUUUGACAACUAA
rnacentral:lncRNA from 1 species